CCAAAGAGGGAUUUCCAUGCAUCAAUAAAUGCUGUUAAAACAGAGGCAAUAUUUUUUCUUCGUCCACAUUCUGUUAUGUUUCUGCUCAACCAGAUUGAAGGAAACAUUAACAAGCUGAUUUAUCACCAAAGAAAAGAAAAAAGUGAAGAAGAUCAAAAAGCACUGCCUACAUUUACAACUCAUUUGCUUAACUUGAAAUAAUGUGUACCUCUUCACCUCAAUGAUCUUUAAUUGCUGUAACUAAUACAUCCCACAACAGCCUUUACAGGUUAAAUUAACUUAGAGCUGUUUUUACUCAUCUAGCUCUAAUAUCAAAUUGAAGGGAAAGAUUUAAAAGCUAAUUUAUCAACAAUGAGAAAAGGUAAAAAAGUAAGAAGCACUGCCUACAUUGAUCCCUUUUAUUUUACAAACAAACACUAAAAAGAUUCUUCCUGUUGGCUGUACUUUCAACAACAGCCGGUAAUGCAAGUUGAAACAUAUCCACCCUUUCCUGGUAACGAAAGAACCCCAUCAUUCAAUAAUACGUCCGACUUGAAUACAUCUGUAAUAACAUCAACAAAAUGGAAAAAACAUAUACCUAAUUGAUUAUGAAAAUGAUGCUCAAGGAUGUCUGGAUGCUUCGUCGUGCAAUUGAGCAGAUCUUACAUUGGGUUCGUCCUGUCAACAUUAAGGAAAGCCAUAUUAGUCCAGCACAAAUGGAUCGGAAUUGCGCUUAGCUAGAAAUUCCGGAGGGUCAGCUGGCGCAUGGUUCG
rnacentral:lncRNA from 1 species